AUUAUUUUUCUAAAAAAAAAAAAAAAAAAUCUGUUCUUAUCAGUUUAAUAUCUGAUACGUCCCCCAUCGGGGGACUACAUAUUAAAUGGAUUUUUCGAACAGGGAGUCGGAAAUGGGGCUUGCUCCGUCCGCUCCACGCAUCGACCCGGUAUUGCAGUACCUCCGGGAACGGUGCAACACUU
rnacentral:snRNA from 1 species